GGAUGGCUGCAGCUCACUGGCAGAGCAUUUGCUUGGCAUGCAAAAAGUCCUAGGCUGAAUCCCUAGCACCUCCA